rnacentral:rRNA from 1 species
UACGGAGGGUGCAAGCGUUAUCCGGAUUCACUGGGUUUAAAGGGUGCGUAGGUGGAGUGGUAAGUCAGUGGUGAAAUCUCCAAGCUUAACUUGGAACUGCCGUUGAUACUAUCAUUCUUGAAUAUCGUGGAGGUAAGCGGAAUAUGUCAUGUAGCGGUGAAAUGCUUAGAUAUGACAUAGAACACCGAUUGCGAAGGCAGCUUACUACACGAUCAUUGACACUGAGGCACGAAAGCGUGGGGGAUCAAACAGG